ACGCUCGACACCUACGGGAUGCAGCAGUGGGGAAUAUUGCACAAUGGGGGAAACCCUGAUGCAGCGACGCCGCGUGGAGGAAGAAGGUCUUCGGAUUGUAAACUCCUGUUGUUGGGGAAAAAGAGGAUGGUACCCAACAAGGAAGUGACGGCUAACUACGUGUCAGCAGCCGCGGUAAUCUGAGCGGGCUGGCAAGGC
rnacentral:rRNA from 1 species